UCGAGAAUCUUCGGCAAUGGACGAAAGUCUGACCGAGCAAUGCCGCGUGCGGGAUGAAGGCCCUCGGGUUGUAAACCGCGAAAGUAAGGAGGAAGGCUCCGUGAAGAGCGGAGUUUGACCGAUUUACAGUAAGGACGGGCUAAGUUCGUGCCAGCAGCCGCGGUAAGACGAACCGUCCAAACGUUAUUCGGAAUUAUUGGGCUUAAAGGGUGCGUAGGCGGCGCUAUAAGUCGGGUGUGAAAUCCCACGGCUCAACCGUGGAACUGCGCCCGAUACUGUGGUGCUCGAGGGAGACAGAGGUAAGCGGAACUGAUGGUGGAGCGGUGAAAUGCGUUGAUAUCAUCAGGAACACCAGUGGCGAAAGCGGCUUACUGGGUCUCUUCUGACGCUGAGGCACGAAAGCUAGGGUAGCGAACGGGAUUAGAUACCCCCGUAGUCC
rnacentral:rRNA from 1 species